rnacentral:rRNA from 1 species
AUUGAACGCUGGCGGCAUGCUUUACACAUGCAAGUCGAACGGCAGCGCGGGCUUCGGCCUGGCGGCGAGUGGCGAACGGGUGAGUAAUGCAUCGGAACGUGCCCAGUAGUGGGGGAUAGCCCGGCGAAAGCCGGAUUAAUACCGCAUACGACCUGAGGGUGAAAGCGGGGGACCGAAAGGCCUCGCGCUAUUGGAUCGGCCGAUGUCGGAUUAGCUAGUUGGUGGGGUAAAGGCUUACCAAGGCGACGAUCCGUAGCUGGUCUGAGAGGACGACCAGCCACACUGGGACUGAGACACGGCCCAGACUCCUACGGGAGGCAGCAGUGGGGAAUUUUGGACAAUGGGGGCAACCCUGAUCCAGCCAUGCCGCGUGCGGGAAGAAGGCCUUCGGGUUGUAAAGCGCUUUUGUUCGGGAAGAAAUCCUCUGGGCUAAUACCCCGGGGGGAUGACGGUACCGGAAGAAUAAGCACCGGCUAACUACGUG